rnacentral:rRNA from 1 species
AGUCGAGGGGCAGCAUGGUCUUAGCUUGCUAAGGCUGAUGGCGACCGGCGCACGGGUGAGUAACACGUAUCCAACCUGCCGUCUACUCUUGGCCAGCCUUCUGAAAGGAAGAUUAAUCCAGGAUGGCAUCAUGAGUUCACAUGUCCGCAUGAUUAAAGGUAUUUUCCGGUAGACGAUGGGGAUGCGUUCCAUUAGAUAGUAGGCGGGAUAACGGCCCACCUAGUCAACGAUGGAUAGGGGUUCUGAGAGGAAGGUCCCCCACAUUGGAACUGAGACACGGUCCAAACUCCUACGGGAGGCAGCAGUGAGGAAUAUUGGUCAAUGGGCGAUGGCCUGAACCAGCCAAGUAGCGUGAAGGAUGACUGCCCUAUGGGUUGUAAACUUCUUUUAUAAAGGAAUAAAGUCGGGUAUGCAUACCCGUUUGCAUGUACUUUAUGAAUAAGGAUCGGCUAACUCCGUGCCAGCAGCCGCGGUAAUACGGAGGAUCCGAGCGUUAUCCGGAUUUAUUGGGUUUAAAGGGAGCGUAGAUGGAUGUUUAAGUCAGUUGUGAAAGUUUGCGGCUCAACCGUAAAAUUGCAGUUGAUACUGGAUGUCUUGAGUGCAGUUGAGGCAGGCGGAAUUCGUGGUGUAGCGGUGAAAUGCUUAGAUAUCACGAAGAACUCCGAUUGCGAAGGCAGCCUGCUAAGCUGCAACUGACAUUGAGGCUCGAAAGUGUGGGUAUCAAACAGGAUUAGAUACCCUGGUAGUCCACACGGUAAACGAUG